UACACUCCUACGGGAGCAGCAGUGGGGAAUAUUGCACAAUGGGCGCAAGCCUGAUGCAGCGACGCCGCGUGGGGGAUGAAGGCCUUCGGGUUGUAAACUCCUUUCGCUAGGGACGAAGCUUUUUUGUGACGGUACCUAGAUAAGAAGCACCGGCUAACUACGUGCCAGCAGCCGCGGUAAUACGUAGGGUGCGAGCGUUGUCCGGAAUUACUGGGCGUAAAGGGCUCGUAGGUGGUUUGUCGCGUCGUCUGUGAAAUUCUGGGGCUUAACUCCGGGCGUGCAGGCGAUACGGGCAUAACUUGAGUGCUGUAGGGGUAACUGGAAUUCCUGGUGUAGCGGUGAAAUGCGCAGAUAUCAGGAGGAACACCGAUGGCGAAGGCAGGUUACUGGGCAGUUACUGACGCUGAGGAGCGAAAGCAUGGGUAGCGAACAGGAUUAGAUACCCUAGUAGUCC
rnacentral:rRNA from 1 species